rnacentral:rRNA from 1 species
AUAUUGUGCAAUGGAGGGAACUCUGACGCAGUGACGCCGCGUGAGCGAUGAAGGUCUUCGGAUCGUAAAGCUCUGUCCUUUGGGAAGAAGAGCUUAGGAUUUGACGGUACCCAAGUAGGAUUCCACGGCUAACUACGUUCCAGUAGAAGCGGCAAUACGCAGGGGGCACGCGUGGUCCGGAAUUAUUGGGCGUAAAGGGUGCGUAGGCGGCCUUUUAAGUCAGAUGUGAAAGGCCACGGCUUAACCGUGGGGUUGCAUUUGAAACUGGAGGGCUUGAGUAUCGGAGAGGGUAGUGAAAUUCCCAGUGUAGCGGUGGAAUGCGUAGAUAUUGGGAGGAACACCAGUGGCGAAGGCGACUACCUGGACGAAAACUGACGCUGAUGCACGAAAGCUAGGGGAGCAAACA